ACGGAAGGCAGCAGUGGGGAAUAUUGCACAAUGGGGGAAACCCUGAUGCAGCAACGCCGCGUGAGUGAUGACGGUCUUCGGAUUGUAAAGCUCUGUCUUUAGGGACGAUAAUGCCGGUACCUAAGGAGGAAGCCACGGCUAACUACGUGCCAGCAGCCGCGGUAAUACGUCGGUGGCAAGCGUUGUCCGGAUUUACUGGGCGUAAAGGGAGCGUAGGUGGAUAUUUAAGUGGGAUGUGAAAUACCCGGGCUUAACCUGGGUGCUGCAUUCCAAACUGGAUAUCUAGAGUGCAGGAGAGGAAAGGAGAAUUCCUAGUGUAGCGGUGAAAUGCGUAGAGAUUAGGAAGAAUACCAGUGGCGAAGGCGCCUUUCUGGACUGUAACUGACACUGAGGCUCGAAAGCGUGGGGAGCAAACAGGAUUAGAUACCCUGGUA
rnacentral:rRNA from 1 species